UACGUAGGGGGCAAGCGUUGUCCGGAAUCAUUGGGCGUAAAGCGCGCGUAGGCGGCCCGGUAAGUCCGCUGUAAAAGUCAAAGGCUCAACCUUUGAAUGUCAGUGGAUACUGCCGGGCUAGAGUCCGGAAGAGGCGAGUGGAACUCCUGGUGUAGCGGUGGAAUGCGCAGAUAUCAGGAAGAACACCAACGGCGAAGGCAGCUCGCUGGGACGGUACUGACGCUGAGGCGCGAAAGCGUGGGGAGCGAACAGG
rnacentral:rRNA from 1 species